CUCAAGUGCUGCAAAUGUGGUGCUGAUGGCGAUAAAGCUGGGUAAUUUAAAGCAAGGUCAGGUGCUGGUGCUGUUUGGCAGCUGGGAUCCCAGGAGCUCUGAGGACUACAGCAGUGUCUUUUCUACCCAGCCAAAGUUGGUGGCCUGCUAAAAGGCAGAGGAAGCUCUGGGGAAGAGCGUGCAUGUGACAGGGAAAUUUCUGCUACUGGCUGCAGGUGCUUUGUAUUGGAGCUUCUCAUCUCAAAAAAUUUAGCCUGGAAAUGUGCUUUAGGACUAGAAAUACUGCCUAAACUCUCUCCAGAUGGCUUGGAAGAGCUUUGGGGUGCUGAGGCAGGUUCAACAGACUGGGAUUGUGUCUUGAACAGUUUAUCAACCUCUUUUUCUCCAGUAGAAUCAGAGCACAAACGUGGAUGUUAACAAAGGAAUAUAGAGCUGUAGCUCACUUGUCAUAAAGAGAAAUGGUGAUGAGUUACGGAGACCUGUGAGCUUCUUCCCAGCAGUGGAGGAGCAUGGAGCUCCACGGGCUGGGUGCUGGAAUUUCACCAGUGCUUCCCUGGGUAAAUGACAGCAACUCUGGGCUGCUUUUCCAGUCUGUAGUAUGGUGUGGCUGUCUUGCAGAAGGGAUUGAAAGGCAUAAUCAAUUGUAAAAUGCACUGCAAUAAAAAGUGUUACCUCA